rnacentral:rRNA from 1 species
GACGAACGCUGGCGGCGUGCUUAACACAUGCAAGUCGAACGAUGAAGCUGGAGCUUGCUCCGGUGGAUUUGUGGCGAACGGGUGAGUCACACGUGAGCAAUCUGCCCUUUACUCUGGUAUAACUGAGUGCAACUGUAGCUAAGACCGUAUACGAGGCUCGACAGCAUCUUCGGGUCUUGAAAGAAUUUCGGUCAAGGCUGAGCUCCCGGCCUAUCAGCUUGUUGGUGAGGUAAUGGCUCACCAAGGCGACGACGGGUAGCCGGCCUGAGAGGGUGACCGGCCACACUGGGACUGAGAAACGGCCCAGACUCCUACUGGAGGCAGCAGUGGGGAAUAUUGCACAAUGGGCGAAAGCCUGAUGCAGCAACGCCGCGUGAGGGAUGAAGGCCUUCGGGUUGUAAACCUCUUUUAGCAGGGAAGAAGCGAAAGUGACGGUACCUGCAGAAAAAGCACCGGCUAACUACGUGCCAGCCGCCGCGUAA